AUUGAACGCUGGCGGCAUGCCUUACACAUGCAAGUCGAACGGCAGCACGGGUGCUUGCACCUGGUGGCGAGUGGCGAACGGGUGAGUAAUACAUCGGAACAUGUCCUGUAGUGGGGGAUAGCCCGGCGAAAGCCGGAUUAAUACCGCAUACGAUCUACGGAUGAAAGCGGGGGACCUUCGGGCCUUGCGCCAUAGGGUUGGCCGAUGGCUGAUUAGCUAGUUGGUGGGGUAAAGGCCUACCAAGGCACCGUUCAGUAGCUGGUCUGAGAGGACGACCAGCAACACUGGGACUGAGACACGGCCCAGACUCCUACAGGAGGCAGCAGUGGGGAAUUUUGGACAAUGGUCGAAAGCCUGAUCCAGCAAUGCCGCGUGUGUGAAGAAGGCCUUCGGGUUGUAAAGCACUUUUGUCCGGAAAGAAAUCCUUGGCCCUAAUACGGUCGGGGGAUGACGGUACCGGAAGAAUAAGCACCGGCUAACUACGUG
rnacentral:rRNA from 1 species